GAUGAACGCUGGCGGCGUGCCUAAUACAUGCAAGUCGAGCGAACGGACGAGAAGCUUGCUUCUCUGAUGUUAGCGGCGGAAGGGUGAGUAACACGUGGAUAACCUACCUAUAAGACUGGGAUAACUUCGGGAAACCGGAGCUAAUACCGGAUAAUAUUUUGAACCGCAUGGUUCAAAAGUGAAAGACGGUCUUGCUGUCACUUAUAGAUGGAUCCGCGCUGCAUUAGCUAGUUGGUAAGGUAACGGCUUACCAAGGCAACGAUGCAUAGCCGACCUGAGAGGGUGAUCGGCCACACUGGAACUGAGACACGGUCCAGACUCCUACGGGAGGCAGCAGUAGGGAAUCUUCCGCAAUGGGCGAAAGCCUGACGGAGCAACGCCGCGUGAGUGAUGAAGGUCUUCGGAUCGUAAAACUCUGUUAUUAGGGAAGAACAUAUGUGUAAGUAACUGUGCACAUCUUGACGGUACCUAAUCAGAAAGCCACGGCUAACUACGUG
rnacentral:rRNA from 1 species